GGUGCUAUAGUGUAGUGGUUAUCACUCGGGAUUUUGAAGUGCUGUACUGCACGGAACUUUCCCGUAACCCCAGUUCGAACCUGGGUAGCACCU